AGCAGCCUUAAAAGAGAAAAUCAGACACUGAAUAUACAUUUUUCUUCUGCGACCAUAGGUAAUUAUAAUAUUUGUUGCCUUUUCCUUGCUCUUGGUUACCCAAGUACAGAACUGAAGUAACUCUUAAGUAUUGUCCCUAUGUAUGUGGUUCAGAAUAUGAACCACAGCAACAGUUGAAGCAAGAAGUGCAUACUACUUGCCCCACUUUGGGGAGGAUAAACUAAGCUUAAAACCAAUUUUUGUGUCCUAGACCCAGUUUCUAGGAACCUUUCUGAAGGUCACCAAAGAAGAUAAGAUUCCAAAAGUUAUGUGAGCAGGAUACAUCUUCAAAAGCUGAGGUGCACUGAUGGGCCAGCUGUAGGAGGUUUGUGCUGCUACUCUCUGAGCACUGUCACACAGAGAUGUUGAAAGCUCCAGUCCAUGAAGAGGCCAAAGGUCCGCACUGCUGUGGGUGCUCCAAGUAAACUACUUCUAUGAAGUGCAAUAUCCUGCUAUUUUCAUGCCAGUUUUGAUACUCGGGCUUUUGUGCCUCUUGGAUGUUGACCAUUCCAGGAAACAGUGUUUUCACCUUGGAACAAACCCCUGUUGCUGCAGCUACAUAAAGAGGUAAGAUUUGGGUAGUGGUGAAUUGCCACAUUCAGAAUGAAGAUGUGAAAAUGCUGAUGUUUCUAUGAUUUGGUAUUGACCUUCCAAGCAAGAAAGAGUGAGUAGACAUGAAAGUACUUUUGAAGCUGUGAAGUGUGGAGAGUAGCAGCAUAGGUUUUUGUAGCAGGAGGCCUAUUUAGCUAGAACACUAGCCAAGUUGAGAAUAACCGGGCUUACACAGCAAAGAAAAGGAUGCUUUGUCAUAAGCAGACCAGCUAGUAGUACAAGAUCCCAGGUACCUUGGCUCAAAGAACAUUUCAGACUGAUGAAGAAACUAAGGCACAGAUACGCAUUUAAGAAUUGUUUUCCUUAUGUUUGUCUGUUAUCUUUCUUACGCAAGCAAAGAAUAGAUGUCUGUCAGCUUAAGUAGUAUCUGUGUACUUUUCAUAUUUUCAUGAAUAACUGCAUUACAAAUCCAAGGUUCCCAAGUGCAGAUACAUCAAUGUGAGACGGUCUCAUUAUUUCAAAGUUGAGUAUGAUCUCCAGCCUGUAAAUCUAAGCAGUCUUGGUAUAACUUUUGUUCACAGAGUCAGGUAUUCUAGAGACCAGGUAUUCUAGAGAUUCAGAGACCCGAAAUGGCUCUAAAUACUCUGGGACAAAAGCAGCAGCAGCUUCUCCCUUGGAGAGGGCAAAAGUAACAUUCAGAAGGCAGUUCUUUAUAUGAUUUUGGAAGGGAUUGAAUGAAUCUAUUUUAGUGAACUCAGUGACUCCAUGUCCCUUCUGAUGCUGCAUUUAAUUCUCUCAACUUGAGAUGCAUGUGGGUGGCCAGAAAUUGCAACCCACUGCUCAAAAUCCAAGCAGUAUUACUGCUUUGUUAAGGUGAUUAGCAUGGAUUUUUGCCUCAAAGAGCUCUCAUCAAGCAUCUCUCUGAGCUCUGUAAGCUUUAAUGCUUAUUAUCUGGUCGCACCUUAGUUCUGGCAGAAGUUAGUGUCUGUACCAAAAAGACAAGGAAACUGUGCUAAAGAGAAAGGAAGUGACCCGCUUAGCAUUGUAGAGGAGAGGGAAAUCCUGCAUAAGUCAGGAGUCUGGUCUCCUUCAUUUCACUCAUAGGCAAUACUUUCUUCAGCACAAAGAUAGCUUCUGGACUUUGGAAUUUGUUCUGAUCCUAACUCCCCCAUUCCCUUCUCCCCAGGGGCUGUAUUAAGGAUAAGAGAGUGAGCUGCACUUUCCCUAGGUGCUGUUAUGUGGUGAGGAAUGAAUGAACAUUGGUCAGCUGACGCCUGGUGCUCAUUGGUAUGCUAGGAGGGAAACCUGGCAUGCUGCAAGCAGCACUUUCUGUACUCUGUAGAGACUGGGAUGGGGAAGGGGUGGAAAAAUGCCUAGAGGACACUAGGACACAGGGAAGAAAGCCCUCCCAGGUUUUAGCUACCUCUGCUGUGGCCCUGCUUGUACUAGAUCAUCCUUCCUACUUUGUUUCCCUGUAGCUCCUUCUCACCAUGUACAAGAUUGGGUGUGUUUCAGAGACUCUGGGAUUCUUACUCUAUUUUCUGUGUACCUACAAGGGUGAAAGGUUUUCAUUUGUUGUAGUUUAAUGUUGAAAAGUCAAUCAGAGAAAAGUGGCAUAGUUUAUUUAAAGCUGCUUGAUGCGACAUAUAGAUCAAAAGAGAAAAUGCUCUGCAUAACGGAUAGUAAAAACGUCACUGCUUUUUCCUAGGAAGUGAUCAAACCUUGCUCUAUUGAAACAGUGGUUAAAGACUGCUGUAGCAUGCCAAUGCUUCAGUUUCUUUUCCAUGUCAUUUUGCUGCACCCCUGACUAAGACAGCAAAGGUAGAUAGCUGAAAGACCUCCUAGAAGAAAGGAUAGCACACAUGGCAGAAUUCCGCAUAAGGUUCCAUCACAUUUGGUUUAAACACUUCAUCUGAGCCUCUUUUAUGUUGGUUUUAUGCUGAUUAUACCCAGAGGCCAUUCAAUAUCAGAUACUUCUAUAUUUUCAGUUUUGAAUACAAUUCAUGAUAUGAAAUUCUUUUACAGUUGCAUGUUUGACAUUGAGCAUGAGCAUAUUAAAAUGAAUGCAGUUUUGUAAACUCACAGAAGUUGAAGGCAUCUUUUUUUUUUUUUGCUUUUAACUCUCCCCUGCUGGAGCUUAUGCCUCAAGCUGUGGGUUGAGAUAAGAACAGCUUAGUUAAAAGAAAGUGUAAUGUAAAAUUAAACCUAAUAAUAAUAAUAAUGAAAAGGGUAAUAACAAAGAGAGAGAUAAAACAAAAAAACCACCCCAACAGUGAUGCACCACUUGCUGACUGACAUACAGGCCAUCCCUGAGCAGCACUCGGUCCCUUCCAGCUAGCUCCCCCCAGUUUAUAUGUACUGAGCAUGAUAUUCUGUGGUAUGGAAUGUCCCUUUGGCUAGUUCAGGUCAGCUGUCCUGGCUGUGGUCCCUCCUGGCUUAUCCUUCUGGAAAGCAAAUUAUCUUGACAUAAACUUUUUGAUUUACUGGAUGUAUUCACUGAGAAUGGCUUGGCAGAAAAAACUUAUUCCAAAAAGUUUGUGCAAAAAAGAGAGCUCCAGAAAGCCUGUUCAGGAUUAUUACUUGUUAUUGGAAGGUCUUCAGGAAAAAAUACCCUAAUUUUCCUCCCAUUCUCUGGCAAUUUAUUCCUCAUUGAUUUGCAUUAAACUAGUAAGGAGAUCCAGUCUUUGGCAGCCAAAAAGGGCUUUGGCAAGCUUUCCAACUGUAGCACCUUUGGCACCUUCCCUCAUUACCCACUUAUGCAGCAUUUGGUAAACUUUUUCUUUUAGUCCAUCUCGCUCAUAGUCAUGAUCAAUUUCAUCAAUCUCAGGAUCACAGAAGCCCAGUUUACGAGCACAGUGCUUCCACUGUUUGGCCAACUUCUCUCUCACUAGAUUCAGAUGUUCAUCAGUCAGGGCACUUUCAUUGUCUGCAAAGAGUAUAAGAAAAUGGCAUUGUUUAAUGUUUCUUCUGCUCCUUUUGCUAUCCCACCUGUUCUUCCCCAACCACUUAUUGUUAAUAUCUGGAGACAGAAUUUUAGUGAUAACAAUCAGAAGUGGAUUUCACUGAAGGCAGUCUUAACCGAUGGUGCCAGGGAAGAAACACUUCAGGACACAUGUGUUCACAGGUCAGUUGCUGGGCUUACUUUUUGAUCUGAGGCUAUCACAGUUUGUCGCUUAAACCUAUGAGAUUGAAAAGCUCCUUCCUAGAGUUCUGACACAGCUGACUGUUGUCUGUAUGAUAUGUUUUAUAUUCUGGGACACUAGUCAUUUGUUUACUUAGGAAUACACAGGGAUAGUUUAAUUUGGUAUGGACCAACAAAAAUCAACUGAAAUUCAGAAUCUUCCAAUUUCUACUGGAAUGAAGUGAUUGCACGCCCAAACCUGUCAGUGGUCAAGAAGCGUUUGGGCAAUGCUCUUAGAUAUCUGGUUUAACUUUUAGGUUUCUCUGUGUGGUUUCAGACAUUGGGCUUGGUGACUUCCAUGGGUCCCUUCCAACUCAGGAUAUUCUAUGACCUGAACAUAGUCAGGGUGAAAGCUCCCCGUCUACGAUCUGCGUCUGACAGCUCCUUUCCUCAAAUUGACUGGCCAAAAGAUUGGUUGCUACAUUUUAAGAAAUAAGCUACAUUCAAUUACAUUCAGCUAUCUGGUAAAGAAUUAUCCCAUCUCUGCUAAAGAUGAAAUUACUGAAAUAAUCUGCAAAUAUGGUAAAUAUCAGUAUUUUGCAUAUGAGAAAAUUAGAAUCUAAGACCCAGUGCAAGCAUAAACUCAAUCCAUUAGCAGUAGAUUAUGCAGGUUAAAUAUGGAAAUAGUAGAUGGCUUCCUCCUGUUAUACAAAUUUCCUCUGAGUAUUUAAGUACAUGCCUGUUGUAUACGAAGCUCUUGACACUCCUGGCUAAAUCCAAACCUCAGUUUCCUGUUAUGCGUAGAGGCUUUUGUUUUAUAGGAUGUUUUAUUUGAGUUGGUUUUUUUGGUGGUUUUUUGGCACCACAUAUUGAGACAGAAAGUAGAGGCAAGAGGAGUUAAAGAAUUUUGACUUAUUUGCUGAAUGCUCUUAAGUCUCCUUCCCAGCCCCCUCAGGCAAGACUUUUACUGACUAUAAGCAUUUUGGGAUCUGACUGUAAGAAAGGCUGAUUAGCUAGUCAAAGGCUAUUGUAUUGCUCAUGGAAGGCUAAACCAGACAGAUUUUGAAGCUAGUUUCAAUAGGGUAUUUUCUCAGUCAUAGCCAAGAUAUAUUAUAUCCCCUGAUGUCAGCUUUUCUGUAAAUUUCAGCAGGAAGAUUAUACUAUGCUAAAGACAAAUUAUCAGCAAGUAUAAAACGUCUUAGCUCCAUUCACUUACGAGUAUUUCUCAAAUCUGUAAAUGUUGGACCGGAUCCCAUUUUUAGUUGGGGUACAGGGAGCAUGCUUUACUGGGCAUGUGAAUUGAUAUUUCUAUUUUCAAAGCAAAAACUUGUAUUUUAAGAGGAAAACACUCAAGUUUGUUUUACUGCAUUACAAACUAUUGAUGGACAAGUAACAAAAAGAAACCUAAAGCAGUGCCUUACCUGCAAAGGUUGGCCGUUUCUCUGACUCUUGCAUCCAGCAUUGUUUCAUUAAGUCAGUAAUCUCCACUGGACAUUCACCAGGGAUCUCCUCUAUGUCUGGCCUGUUUCCACACGUGAUGGCAAACCAAAUCUGAGAAUAAUUUAUACUAUCUGAAAAAUAAAAUCAGAUUCCGAUCA